AAUAAGAGCGUAUGGGGAAUGCCUAGGCUCUCAGAGGCGAUGAAGGACGUGAUAAGCUGCGAAAAGUUACGGGGAUUGGCACAUACAAAUUGAUCCGUAAAUAUCCGAAUGGGGCAACCCAGCAUGUUGAAGACAUGUUACACUGUAAAGUGAGCAAACCCGGAGAACUGAAACAUCUAAGUACCCGGAGGAGAAGAAAACAAAAGUGAUUCCGCUAGUAGUGGCGAGCGAACGCGGAUUAGCCCAAACCAAAAAUGUUAAGGCAUUUAUGGGGUUGUAGGACUACAAUGUUCGAGUUGUAAUGAAUUAGAAUAGUUUGGAAAAACUAACCAAAGAGGGUGAUAGUCCCGUAUAAGUAAAGAACAAUAAGAUAGUAGUAUCCUGAGUAGUGCGGGACACGAGUAAUCCUGUAUGAAUCAGUCGGGACCAUCCGAUAAGGCUAAAUACUCCUGAGAGACCGAUAGUGAACUAGUACCGUGAGGGAAAGGUGAAAAGAACCCUGAAUAAGGGAGUGAAAUAGAUCCUGAAACCAUACGCUUACAAGCGGUCGGAGCCCUUUGGGGUGACGGCGUGCCUUUUGCAUAAUGAGCCUACGAGUUACCGUUGCUAGCAAGGUUAAGUGAUUAAGUCACGGAUCCGUAGCGAAAGCGAGUCUGAAUAGGGCGCUUUAGUUAGUAGUGGUAGACGCGAAACCGUGUGAUCUACCCAUGGGCAGGUUGAAGCUGUAGUAACAUACAGUGGAGGACCGAACCGGUUGACGUUGAAAAGUCUUCGGAUGACCUGUGGGUAGGGGUGAAAGGCCAAUCAAACUCGGAAAUAGCUCGUACUCCCCGAAAUGCAUUUAGGUGCAGCGUUGAUUUAUAGUUUUAUAGAGGUAGAGCUACUGAUUGGAUGCGGGGGCUUCACCGCCUACCAAUUCCUGACAAACUCCGAAUGCUAUAAAAUGUUCAUCAGCAGUGAGGGCAUGGGUGCUAAGGUCCAUGUCCGAAAGGGAAAGAACCCAGACCAUCAGCUAAGGUCCCAAAAUAUAUGUUAAGUUGAAAAAACGAGGUUGAACUGCUUUGACAGCUAGGAUGUUGGCUUGGAAGCAGCCAUUCAUUUAAAGAGUGCGUAACAGCUCACUAGUCGAGCGGUUCGGCAUGGAUAAUAAUCGGGCAUAAACAUAUUACCGAAGCUAUGGACUUGAAAAAGUGGUAGGGGAGCAUUGUAGUGGCGUUGAAGGUGUGUUGUGAGACAUGCUGGAGUAGCUACAAAAGAAAAUGUAGGCAUAAGUAACGAUAAUGCGGGCGAGAAACCCGCACUCCGAAAGACUAAGGUUUCCUCAGCUAUGCUAAUCAGCUGAGGGUUAGUCGGGACCUAACGCGAACCCGAAAGGGGUAGUGGAUGGACAACAGGUUAAUAUUCCUGUACCUGCUCACACUAAAAGUGACGGAGGCGAAUAGUUAGUGCGCACAGACGGAAUUGUGCGUUGAAGAGAGUGGUAACACCUCGAUAGUACACUAAGACUACGGUCGCGGUGAUAAUCUAGCGAAUCGACUUCCAAGAAAAGCAAGUGAAGCAGCCCGUACCCUAAACCGACACAGGUAGUUGGGAUGAGAAUUCUAAGGAGCUCGAGAGAUUCAUGGCUAAGGAACUAGGCAAAAUAGACCUGUAACUUCGGGAGAAAGGUCGCCAUCCUUCGGGAUGGCCGCAGUGAAAAGGUCCAGGCGACUGUUUAUCAAAAACACAGGGCUAUGCUAAAUUGAAAGAUGACGUAUAUGGCCUGACACCUGCCCGGUGCUGGAAGGUUAAGUGGAGUUGUUAGCUUCGGCGAAGCAAUAAAAUGAAGCCCCAGUAAACGGCGGCCGUAACAAUAACGGUCCUAAGGUAGCGAAAUUCCUUGUCGGGUAAGUUCCGACCUGCACGAAUGGUGCAACGAUCUGGACACUGUCUCAGCCAUGAGCUCGGUGAAAUUGUAGUAUCGGUGAAGAUGCCGAUUACCCGCUGUGGGACGAAAAGACCCCGUGAACCUUUACUAUAGCUUCACAGUGAACUUUGAGCAUGUUUGUGUAGGAUAGCUGGGAGGCUUUGAAGUGGGAACGCCAGUUCUCAUGGAGCCAACCUUGAAAUACCAGCCUGACAUGUUUGAGGUUCUAACUUGGUCCCCUUAUCGGGGAUGAGGACACUGUGUGGUGGGUAGUUUGACUGGGGCGGUCUCCUCCCAAAGCGUAACGGAGGAGCACAAAGGUGGGCUAAGCAUGGUCGGACAUCAUGCGGUUAGUGUAAUGGCACAAGCCCGCUUAACUGCGAGACAGACACGUCGAGCAGGUACGAAAGUAGGUCAUAGUGAUCCGGUGGUUCUGUAUGGAAGGGCCAUCGCUCAACGGAUAAAAGGUACUCCGGGGAUAACAGGCUGAUACCCCCCAAGAGUCCACAUCGACGGGGGUGUUUGGCACCUCGAUGUCGGCUCAUCACAUCCUGGGGCUGAAGCCGGUCCCAAGGGUAUGGCUGUUCGCCAUUUAAAGUGGUACGCGAGCUGGGUUUAGAACGUCGUGAGACAGUUCGGUCCCUAUCUGCCGUGGACGUUGGAGAUUUGAGGAAAGCUGCUCCUAGUACGAGAGGACCGGAGUGGACGAACCUCUGGUGUUCGGGUUGUGACGCCAGUCGCAUUGCCCGGUAGCUAUGUUCGGACAGGAUAACCGCUGAAAGCAUCUAAGCGGGAAGCCCCUUCCAAGAUGAGAUCUCCCUGGACCCUCGAGGUCCCUGAAGAGCCGUUCAAGACCAGGACGUUGAUAGGUCGGGUGUGUAAGCGCU
rnacentral:rRNA from 1 species